UUUUUUGCCUUGUGUAGAAGGAGUUUACUAUGUGACCCCAGGUCAGGCGGGGCUACCCGCUGAGUUUAAGCAUAUC
rnacentral:rRNA from 1 species